AAACUCUUGUGUGGUUGUUUCUCCUUCUUCACCCUUUUCAUCCUUCCUAAAUAUCUCUGCCAAUUCCUCACACUCUCUUACCUCAAGCACUUCAAGUUUGGUAAGAUCUUUGGCCACCGAUGCUGGAAACAAACUUUUAAGAGAAUCACAAUAAUAAACAGUCAUUUCCUUUAGCACUUGAAGGCCAAUAAUCCCCUCCGGAUCCUUGUCCCAUACAUGCUCCAGUUUUGGUAGAUACCUUAAAGACAAUAUUUUCAAACGGAAUAUUCCGGAAGCUUUUGUCACCCUGUUCUCAUCAUUCAUAUUAAAUAUGAGCUGUGCUGAUUUGCAAGCAUAUACUUGUAACACUUCCAAAUUGUGAAAGCAAGAGAGCAAAUGAGAUGGAAUUACAUGCU
rnacentral:lncRNA from 1 species